AGAGUUUGAUCCUGGCUCAGGAUGAACGCUAGCGAUAGGCUUAACACAUGCAAGUCGAGGGGCAGCGAUGGUAGCAAUACCUGUCGGCGACCGGCGCACGGGUGAGUAACGCGUAUGUAACCUGCCCGCAACAGAGGGAUAACCCGGCGAAAGUCGGACUAAUACCUCAUAAAACAGGGGUUCCGCAUGGGGCUAUUUGUUAAAGAUUUAUUGGUUGCGGAUGGGCAUGCGUACCAUUAGGUAGUUGGUGAGGUAACGGCUCACCAAACCAUCGAUGGUUAGGGGUUCUGAGAGGAAGGUCCCCCACACUGGUACUGAGAUACGGCCCAGACUCCUACGGGAGGCAGCAGUGGGGAAUAUUGCACAAUGGGCGGAAGCCUGAUGCAGCGACGCCGCGUGGGGGAUGACGGCCUUCGGGUUGUAAACUCCUUUCAGCCAUGACGAAGCGUUAUGUGACGGUAGUGGUAGAAGAAGCACCGGCUAACUACGUGCCAGCAGCCGCGGU
rnacentral:rRNA from 1 species